UCGCUGGUGGUGACAACGGAACCCCGGA
rnacentral:sRNA from 1 species